rnacentral:rRNA from 1 species
GAGUUUGAUCCUGGCUCAGGAUGAACGCUAGCGGCAGGCUUAACACAUGCAAGUCGAGGGGUAUAGAGAGCUUGCUUUCUAGAGACCGGCGCACGGGUGCGUAACGCGUAUGCAAUCUACCUUUCACAGAGGGAUAGCCCAGAGAAAUUUGGAUUAAUACCUCAUAGUAUAGUUUUACCGCAUGGUAGUAUUAUUAAAGUCACAACGGUGAAAGAUGAGCAUGCGUCCCAUUAGUUAGUUGGUAAGGUAACGGCUUACCAAGACAGCGAUGGGUAGGGGUCCUGAGAGGGAGAUCCCCCACACUGGUACUGAGACACGGACC